rnacentral:rRNA from 1 species
UCUCUCUGAAUCUGCGAACGGCUCCGCAAACCAGUUGUAAGCAAUAGCAAGGAUGCUCGUCGAACCCGGGGCUCGCGCCCCGGCAAGUAGGCGGGCGACAAGGAUACCCCUGGUAAUCCUGAGGCUAAUACUUGAGCGUACGACCUUGGCAGCCCUCGCGGCAGCCGGGGACCGUGCGAUCAUUCAAAGCGGUGGGAAACCAUCCGGGAAAGGACGCACAGUCAAACCGCGGCAAAAAAUGGUUCGGCGGAAUCCCUCGGCCUUCGCGGUCGGGGGAGAAGCCGUUUCUCGCGGGUCUUGCACUGCGCUUCUGACCUAUCAACUGUAUAGCAGUGUAAGGGACAUGCUAUGGUUACAACGGGUACAGAGGAUUAGGGUUCGAUCCUGGAGAGUGGGCCUGAGAGAUU